UACGGGGGGGGCAAGCGUUGUCCGGAAUCAUUGGGCGUAAAGAGCGUGUAGGCGGCUUGGUAAGUCUGGCGUGAAAUCCCGGGGCUCAACCCCGAGCGGUCGUGAGAAACUGGCAGGCUAGAGUGCGGGAGAGGAGAGUGGAAUUCCUGGUGUAGCGGUGAAAUGCGCAGAUAUCAGGAAGAACACCCGUGGCGAAGGCGGCUCUCUGGAACGCAACUGACGCUGAGACGCGAAAGCGUGGGGAGCAAACAGG
rnacentral:rRNA from 1 species